rnacentral:ncRNA from 1 species
GAUUAUGCUAAUUCGCCACCCAAAAUAACGCAGGUGUCCCAAGGCGAGCUCAGCGUGGACGGAAACCACACGUCGAGCAAAAGGGCAAAAGCUCGCUCGAUCUCGAUUUUCAGUACGAAUACGGACCGCGAGAAGAGACUCAAUAGAUCGCAAUGUGGUAGCUGCUCUACUAAGCACAAGGCCAGCAAAUUUAUUCAAGGGGGUCAAGUCGAUUAAAUCGACUCCAGUGUUCAACUAGUACUUAUUUUAUAAACCCCGAAAAUAUAAAAGGUAAAGUCGACCGCAGCGGAA